rnacentral:rRNA from 1 species
AUUGAACGCUGGCGGCAGGCUUAACACAUGCAAGUCGAGCGGAGAGAGGUAGCUUGCUACCGAUCUUAGCGGCGGACGGGUGAGUAAUGCUUAGGAAUCUGCCUAUUAGUGGGGGACAACAUUUCGAAAGGAAUGCUAAUACCGCAUACGUCCUACGGGAGAAAGCAGGGGAUCUUCGGACCUUGCGCUAAUAGAUGAGCCUAAGUCGGAUUAGCUAGUUGGUGGGGUAAAGGCCUACCAAGGCGACGAUCUGUAGCGGGUCUGAGAGGAUGAUCCGCCACACUGGGACGGAGACACGGCCCAGACUCCUACGGGAGGCAGCAGUGGGGAAUAUUGGACAAUGGGCGCAAGCCUGAUCCAGCCAUGCCGCGUGUGUGACGAAGGCCUUAUGGUUGUAAAGCACUUUAAGCGAGGAGGAGGCUACUUUAGUUAAUACCCAGAGAUAGUGGACGUUACUCGCAGAAUAAGCACCGGCUAACUCUGUGCCAGCCGCCGCGGUAAUAC